rnacentral:ncRNA from 2 species
AUAUUGUGCUAGGGGGGCCGGAAAAGGCCGGCUGAGAUAUAGAUCCGCUAAAUCUAUGACCCUGUAACCUGAUCUGGGUAAUGCCAGCGUAGGGAAAGCUCCGAAACUUGUGG